rnacentral:rRNA from 1 species
CUCGUAGGCGGCCAACUAAGUCCGACGUGAAAUCCCAAAGCUUAACUUUGGAACUGCGUCGGAUACUGGAUGGCUUGAAUUCGGGAGAGGGAUGCAGAAUUCCAGGUGUAGCGGUGAAAUGCGUAGAUAUCUGGAGGAAUACCGGUGGCGAAGGCGGCAUCCUGGACCGACAUUGACGCUGAGGAGCGAAAGCUAGGGAGCAAACG